CUGACAGCUCUGUCCCUGCAUCCCAGGCCACUGCUCUGGCCCCAUCAACAUCCUCAGCAUCUCCAGACUCCCUGCAGCUCUAGACCACAUCCCUGCACAGAUCUGCUCUUCCUGCCAUCGUCCCUGAAAGACUGUGAUAUAGUAAGAAAUAGGUGGAUUUCGUCUUUGUACUGUUUCUGGCACAAGAGCUGCUGAAACACUUGCAACUUCCGGGUGGGGUAAGAGGAGCAGCUAUCGUUGUUCAGAACAAGCCCUACUUCAAAGCUCGUGCUGAUAAAGUGACUCUUGGAGGUUUGGGGCUGGUUUGCCAGAGGAAUGAACCUUGAGAUUCAAGACUGGAGCUUUCAGGACUUCCCUAGGGGUCCAGUGGCUAAGACUCGGCAAUUCCAAUGCAGGGAACGGGGCGGCACAAGUUCAAUCCCUGGUUGGGUGAGGGAACUAACGUGCUGCCUGGGAUGCAGCCAAAAAAAAAAAAGAUUGGAGCUUUCAACCUCAUCCCCACACUGCCAGGGAGAGGAGGGGGUGGAGGUUGCAUUCAGUCACCAAUAGUCAGUGAUUUAAUCAAACAUGGAAUGUCCGUAAAACCCUAACAACAGGUUUUGGAGGCUGUCGGGUUGGGGAACACACCAAGGGAAGGGUGGGGUUCAAGAGAAGGCAGGAGAGAUCUGUGUGCCCCCUCCCAGGCCUCCCCUCACCACUCUACAUACGCCCUCUCCAGGAAUCUCUUCCAUCUGGUUGUGAGUUGUAUCCUUUAUAGGAAACUGGCAAAUACACGGAAACUGUUUCCCUGAGAUCUGCGGAGUCAGUCUAGCACUCUGAUGACCCUGAGGAGGCAGUCGUGGGAACCCCUGAUUGAUGGCUAGUACGUCGGAAGCGCAGCAGGCCUGUGACUGGUAACUGGAGUCUAAUUGGAGGCAGUUUUGAGGAGUUGAGCCCUGAACUUGAGGGCUGUGACUCUAGCUCCAGGGAGAUAGUGAUGGGAUCGAAGUGAAUUCUAGGAUACCCAGACUGUGUCCAGAAAGUCGGAGCAUAGAUUGCAUGCUGCAUGCUCAGUUGCUCAGUCGUGUCCAACUCUUUGCAACCCCAUGGACUAUAGCCCACCAGGCUCCUCUGUCCACGGGAUUCUCCUGGACAGAUUCUGGAGUAGGCUACCAUUUCCUUCUACGGGGAAUCUUCCUAGCCCAGGAUCCCCCAUCUCCUGUACUGGCAGGUAGAUUCUUUACCCUGAGCCACUAGGAAGUCACUAUGUCCAUAGGCUGAGAAUAACACGGAUGACACCUUUCUGUGCCUCUCUUCCAUCUCUGCAUUUAGAGAUAGCAACUUGGGAGCUUGAAGCUGGCCGUGAUGGGAGUAUUGACACCACAGAAAUCAGGGACCUUUACACAUUAGAGCUUUCAAUAGCCCCAGAGAGCCAGUUGUUAGACAUCUUCCAGCACACUGUGGAGAAAGAGGGUGAUGCUGUCAUCUUGGCAGACAGAAAGGAGGAAAGGACAGCACACUCAGGUAGAUUUGUGGGCUUCAUGGUGAGACAAUGAGGCUUUUUUUUCCCUGUCGACUUCCACUUUUCUCUGAAGUCAGCUGCUUGCAUGAAGAAGCCGAACAGGACAGAAGCCUAGAGCCAUGGAUCCAAACCAGCUCAGCUUAGAAACCGAAGUGAUGGGAGGUGCAGAGCAGAGCAAGGGGAUGCAAGGCCCGCGGGAAUGGAUAAAUAGGAAGAGCUGAGAAGGCAGGGGAGGACGCGUACCACCUGGGCAGGGCGGAAAGCUGGGGAGAGGGAUGUGCGCAUGGGCGUUCAGAGCGCUGCCUUUUGACAGGGUCUGAUGCGCGGGCCCUGCGCUGCAGGCGUGGCGACCGAGAUACGCUUGGACCUUGUCCUGCAUUCUGGUAUAUAUUUUCCCAUUUUAAAAGUAAGGAAAGAAAGUCACGGUGAAAAAGGUGGGAAAACCAAGACGUGAGGGAAUUGGUUUGGUCCAAAGGGAUUCACGUUGGAGGAACCUGUUUCUUCAUCUGUAAAAGGCUAUCAGUCAGUUCAACGAGUCAAUCGUGUCUGACUCUUUGCGACCACGUGGACUGCAGCACGCCAGGCUUCCCUGUCCAUUGCCACUAUAAAGUGAUAUAAGCAAUGAAAACACAUGUAACGUGCCCAAGUCAGAGAACGUUCUUGAAAUGUUUGCUUUCCUCCCACCGAACGCCCCACCUCACUUUCUCCCACCGGAACACCCAGGUCUCCUGAUCCCCACGUGCACACAUGUUCAGAAACGCUAAAAGAACCACCGUUUCUCCACUUCCAUCCAGACUCCUCUUUAGCAGAGGCGGUUUUAAAGUCAUGUGUUAUUAGAAAUCUUAUAAUGUACAGUUUGUAAACGGCAAGUCAGAAAUUGGAAGCUCAGGCCAGGAUCCUGAGACUGCCUGUCCGACAGCAGAGGCAUCAGAGAAUGCACUCAUUCAUAAGCUCGCCAGAGAGACGAGGUGGAAAAGACACUGACGUACAGACAGGAAGUGCAGACAAGGCUAAUUCGUUGCCACUGAAGCUUGCUGAGCGUGGUCUGGCUGUGACGUAAAUUAUUCAUGCAUUCCCCACGGCACCCUUGUGUUGAAGGCUGAUGUCAGGACAGGACCCCGAGUUCCUCUUCUGCCCCCGCCAGAGCUGAGCCGCGGUGUACAGAGUCGACACACCAUCCAUCCUAAAAUCCACUCUGUCCUCCAAGGGGGCCCACAGUGCAAGGCUGGCCAGUGCAACUAGGCUUCCUUGUCCAACUGCCAGAGACAGAUGGAUUCAUUCAGUUGCCAGCCCAAUACCCCCUGAUAAUGGUGAUAAUGUCUGGAAUUGAUUUAUGGUGCUCCUCUUGCCAUGAGAACGCAGUGGAGGCUGGACUGUGUAAGUGGCCUUUUGCUGCAGGUACAGAAUCAUCCUCUAAUUGUUCAUCUAAUGUUUCAGAUGUCCUAGUCAGGAAUAACAAAUUCAUGUGCUAUAGGGGCCCAGAAGUCACAGUGGUAAAGAGUAAGAUGAGAGACUUGCCUAGUGGUCCAGUGGCUAAGAAUCUGCCUGCCAGUGCAAGGGACAUGGGUUCAAUCCCUGCUCAGGGAAGAUUCCACAUGUCACAGAGCAGCUAAGCCCAUAUGCCACAACUACUGAGCCCUCGUUCCUAGAGCCCAUUCUCUACAACAAAAGAAGCCACCACAAUGAGAAGCCUGUGCAUUGCAGUGAAGAGCCAGCACAGCCAUAAAUAAAUAAAUUUUAUUUUUUAAAAAGGAGUAAGAUGAUAGGGCGUGUUGGGGAAUGUCCGAGAGGAGAUUGCCUGUCCCAUCCUUCCAGACGGCUCCUUGCAGACCCAGCACAGAUUGUUGGCUUCUGAGGGCACAUGUCUUGGGUUAUUGCAUCUUCUGACUUUUCACAAGAAGCUGGAUUCCCAGAUUUUAAUGUGGAAAUCUCCUAGUUUUUAAAUUUAAGUGCUGAGUGAAUACUUCCAUUGGUCCAGUUCAACUAGAUUGUUUAUAAUCUCUGAUCUUAUUUGUUUCCCUGUGUAAAGGUAGCCUUUCACAGGAAGGGACAUCACUGUUUCUCCCACAUUCUCUUUUGUCCUCUCUUACACCGCAUCAUUCUUUGCAUAACGUGUAGCAUUUAUAUCAGUUAUGAUCUUCAACCUCAGUCACCAAUUUACUGCUCUGGUAUCCCAGACUCUGUGCUCCAGGUUCUUUUUCUUCUUCAUUAUUGCUUUCUGUGUCUUCUCCUCAUUUCUCAAAGGCCUCCAGACACCUCAAAAGGAAAGGCAGCGUGAACAGGAGUCAGUAAUGACUGUCUACUGACAACACGCCUUCAUCUCUAAGACAGCAUUUUCUCUCUUUCGAAGCCAGGUCAUUGCCAAGAUGGCAGGAGUUUAGCAGAGAAAAAGGGAGGAAUUCCAGGGUAGAGUCCAAAAGGCCUCUCCUUCCGUGUAAGGCGGCGCUCAACAGUUAAUGCGCACCCGACUCGCCUCCUAGCAUCCUCCGCCCCUCCUGCUCCCAGGUCCCACCAUCUGUGGGGACAUUCUCCCUUUUCCGGGACGUGUUCUGUGGUGGGGGCCCACUGCUCCCUCAUGCUCUCCCCG
ensembl:lncRNA